AUGGAACGUCACAGAGUGCUCUUACACGAACCUAGAUGGUAGCGCCCACUACACACCAGGCUCUACGGUGUAGCCUAUUGCUCCCAGGCUACAAACCUGAACAGCAUGUUACUGUACUGAAUACUGCAGGCAAUUGUUACACAACGUGUCCUUUGCCCUUGUGCUCCUGUUCCAGCUUCAGUGACUCCUCAUUAGUCAAUUCCUCAGACACCACCUCUAGGAGCUCCUCAAUAUCAUACUUAUCCACACCUAGGUUCAAGUCGUUUGCCGUCUCAACUACAGCCUUGUUGAUUUUUGAAACUUCAUCCUUAAAAAAUCCUUUGAAGUCAUGGACGAACCUCUUGAGUGUCUUCUUCCAGAUGCCAUUCACAGACUCCUUGGUGACAUCACCUUAAGUCUAAGCAAGAGAUUGCAAAUCUACAUUAAUGAGUUUCUAGAGAAGAGUGUGAAGAUCGUGGUUCAUCUAUUCUCUGGCAAAUUUCUGUCAAAUCACCACUGUGCUCCAUAUGUGCUCUUCCUUACAUCAUUUUCCAUCUCAAAGGAAUUUUUUAAAUUCUACAUAGAAGAGUUAACAUCACUCUUUAUAAUAGCUGUGAAAUGCCAUGCUAAUCUUCAAUCACAGUUUUCACUGUCUUGAAAAGUCUUGGAUUUAAAAAGUCAAUUAAAUGAAAGUAAAUAAAUGAUUGAAAACAAAUCUAUCAACUCUACUGGGAAAAAAAAUUAAAAAUAUAUACGUUGCUAUCAGUAAUUACUUUAAAUGUAAAAUGAUUAAAUUCUUUAAUCAAAACAUAGGUAUUGGAGGAACAGAUUUGAAAACAUGAUCCAACUAUUUACUGUCUACAGGGAUUCGUCUUAGAUCCAAAGACACAAAUAAGUUGAAAGUGAAACACAAC
rnacentral:lncRNA from 1 species